UGUCCGUGUCGAGCGGGGCUUCUGUGUGCGGAACCGCACGAGCUUCCUCAUUCUUGUGGGUUGUUCGGACUCACUGCGGCUGAUUUAACAGGCACUAGACUGGCAGCAGGGUGCUCACAGGAGAUGGGUGUAGUGACUCACCGUGGGGCUGGGCUGUACCAUGCACCCUGCCCCGUGGAUCGCUGGGCUUGCAAGUCCUUGUUAGAAACCCGUCCCAUCCUCCCUCUGACAGCGCCUCACUUGGGACGUGGCUUUCAGAGACAGAAGACACCUGUGGGGCCUUUUCCUUGCACCUGAAGAGUUCGUUCUGGAUCAGGCCCAUGGUACACACGUGCUGCACACGUGUGUAGGAGAGACCUGACGAUUUCAGCACAUGACAAGGAGACCGGCAAAGAGAAACAACCAGCUGGCGGAGUCCAAGAAGACAAGCAGAUUGACCUGGGAUCUUUGACUGGGGCCGGGCGCUACCAUGAGGCUGGCGGGUAAGAGGAGGAAGGGUGUUUGUCGUUCACAGGGAUUAUAAAACAGCUCCCUUUGUUGGACCUGUUUCUCGUUUGCGGAAGGCCUCUCCGUCCCCGUGUGCAGCGUGGGGGCCAGGACCCACGUGACUAGGUGCGCAGCCGUGUCAGUCACUCCACACUCCGGGCUGUGGCCCUUGUGGGCGGGACCCCUCCGGGCGGGAGGGGGGGGGCUGCCUCCCCACGCCCCGUUCCCAGGCAAUAGAGAUGGUUUCUCCAGCCCCCCCUCCAAGGCAGGAGAGCCGUGUGCUCCGCUGACCGGGGCUUUACAGGCAGCCACCAGGCUGUUGAGUGGGAGGAGGCGG